GGCUGGUCCGAGUGCAGUGGUGUUUACAACUAAUUGAUCACAACCGGUUACAGAUUUCUUUGUUCCUCCUCCACUCCCACUGCUUCACUUGACUAGCCUUAA
ensembl:misc_RNA Y_RNA Y RNA